rnacentral:lncRNA from 1 species
GGCACCCGCAACUGUGCCGUGCAGGUCAAUACGCACUCAUCACUGAGCACACAAACAGGACUAGGAGCUCCAGCAUUUGUGUCCUCGCCAACUUCCCUUGUUUUUCCACGGUUUCUGGGAAGCCCUUUCUUUAGUAACCAUGCUCCUGUUUUCUCACCCAGAUGGAAAGCAAAACUUGGAACCAGAAGCUUUGUACUGCUUUCCCAGCAGCUAAGCCCAGUAAGAAUGAUGGACUGGGAUCUGGAAGGUUUGAUCCCACUUCUGCCUGUGCCAUGAACUCACCCUUGACUUGAAGCAAGUCACCUUCCUAUUCAAAUCCUGCAUUUUUUCCAUCUGGAAGGGGAAGAAGCUGAGCUACAUGGUCUCUGUGUUCUCAACCAACCUGAGAAUGUUGUUUCACUCUGAAUAAAUCGGUUUGUCAAGACAGCCUCCUGCGGUGGCCAUCUGAUCCCGUGUGGCAUCUUGCCCAGCCUCUGACAAAUAACAACAGGAGGUGGGAACCGCUCAAGCCCUUCUGGGUUGCUUACCAGGCCAACUCACCCCUCUGGUCAAUGUCCACACCGAUGUGACUAUUACUCUUCAGGAAAUGCUCUCUCCAAUUUGGGGCCCACCCUGUAUUCAUGAAAUCAAUGGCUC